GCGGCGGUAGCCAAGCCAGGUCAAAGCUUGAAAAGCGACAUUAGGCGAAGGACUCAAGAUCCUUUCCCGUAGGGGUUCGCCGGUUCGAAUCCGGCCCGCCGCACCA
rnacentral:tRNA from 1 species